UACGUAGGUGGCAAGCGUUGUCCGGAUUUACUGGGCGUAAAGCGCGCGCAGGCGGACUGGUCAGUCCGGGGUGAAAUCUCACGGCUCAACCGUGAGCGGUCCCCGGAUACUGCCAGUCUUGAGGUGUCUAGAGGAGAGCGGAAUUCCCGGUGUAGUGGUGGAAUGCGUAGAUAUCGGGAAGAACACCAGUGGCGAAAGCGGCUCUCUGGGGACCACCUGACGCUGAGG
rnacentral:rRNA from 1 species